rnacentral:misc_RNA from 1 species
CAGGGGCCCACCCAAUCACUUGCUUCUCAUUGUUGUAAAUCACCAUUCUGUCUUGCAUUGAUAUGUCACCGAUGACAUUUAGAUCGCCCAGCCCUACUUCUGUACCAUUUAGAAUUCCCAAGCAAGCAUUUCCCUCGGAUGAUAUGAUCAGAUACGCUUCUGGGGGGAAUUCAAACUUUCUCCCAUUGCUUGUGAAGCUCAACGCAAAGGUCUUGAAGAAUUUCUUGACAUCAUGAAUGCUUUUAAAACGC